rnacentral:rRNA from 1 species
CUAAACAUGCAAGUCGAGCGGUAGAGAGAAGCUUGCUUCUCUUGAGAGCGGCGGACGGGUGAGUAAUGCCUAGGAAUCUGCCUGGUAGUGGGGGAUAACGUUCGGAAACGGACGCUAAUACCGCAUACGUCCUACGGGAGAAAGCAGGGGACCUUCGGGCCUUGCGCUAUCAGAUGAGCCUAGGUCGGAUUAGCUAGUUGGUGAGGUAAUGGCUCACCAAGGCGACGAUCCGUAACUGGUCUGAGAGGAUGAUCAGUCACACUGGAACUGAGACACGGUCCAGACUCCUACGGGAGGCAGCAGUGGGGAAUAUUGGACAAUGGGCGAAAGCCUGAUCCAGCCAUGCCGCGUGUGUGAAGAAGGUCUUCGGAUUGUAAAGCACUUUAAGUUGGGAGGAAGGGUUGUAGAUUAAUACUCUGCAAUUUUGACGUUACCGACAGAAUAAGCACCGGCUAACUCUGUGCCAGCAGCCGCGGUAAUACAGAGGGUGCAAGCGUUAAUCGGAAUUACUGGGCGUAAAGUGCGCGUAGGUGGUUUGUUAAGUUGGAUGUGAAAUCCCCGGGCUCAACCUGGGAACUGCAUUCAAAACUGACUGACUAGAGUAUGGUAGAGGGUGGUGGAAUUUCCUGUGUAGCGGUGAAAUGCGUAGAUAUAGGAAGGAACACCAGUGGCGAAGGCGACCACCUGGACUAAUACUGACACUGAGGUGCGAAAGCGUGGGGAGCAAACC